rnacentral:lncRNA from 13 species
CUUCUAUUGUUUGGAUAUUGAUAGCCUGGAUAAAUGCUGUGAUUUUCUUAACUUUUUUUUUCUAUUGUAUAUUACUUUUAAUUUUCUCUUCCAAGAGAUUGUCUUAUUUUUAAUGUUCCAAUACUUUUGUUUAAUUGUUAUUUCUGAUAUUAUUAUUAUUUCCAUGAGGUAUCUUUUGUUCUGUGACAUUGUUGUGGUAUCUUUUAAUUGAUGUAAAAGAUGUAGUAUCUUAUUUUCUCUCUCUAAAGAAAGCAAUUUUUUUACAUUCUUCCAUAUUAUCUUCUUUUCCUAUGACUUCAGUAUAUUUUUCUUUUUUCCCUUUAAUUUUCAUUUUAAUGACUGGUGGUAUCAACAUUAAUGUUCCUAUUUAAGAGCGAGGCGCUCAAAGGCUGAUUAGUUCUCUGCUGGAAGGCUUGUAACCAGUAGUCUUCACAAAUGCAAUGGUUAGAUAGCAAGGCAGCCAUCUCAGCUGGAAGCCCCCAAAUAUAAGUCUCUGGAGAUUUUUUCCUUGGAUUGCACAGUUUCUGUACUCUCUUGCUUAAAUGAUAUAGUCUGGUUUCAAACACUGUGGGAUGAGGACAUUGGAGGGAGCCGUGUGUGGAGUUGCUUUUAAUCCUCUGUUUCAGUCCAUUUUCAGGUUUGCUUCUUGCUUAUGUCUGCAAGUCGAGUCACUGUGGUCCGGUUCCUCUGGACCCUGAGACCUGUUUCCAUUCUUGGUUUGGGAUACUUAUGUGCCUAGCUGAGAAAAGGAAGAAGUAUUUCAUUCUUCAGGCUUCAAACAAUCAUGGAUGAUUAUGGAAAAAAAAAGACACUCUUUGGAUUUCUAUUGAUGAGAAUUUUACUCUGUAACUGAAGGAAAGGCUAGCCACAUCGUUCUUCCUCUGAAAAGGUUUUUAAUGCCAAUGUCCAAAGAUUACCGAGUGAUUCCAUGGAUGUCAACAGUGCAUUUAAAGUUUCCUGCAGAGAGGAAAUAUGCAGAUCACAAUGAAGGGCAAUGCUCAGGAAGCUGUUUUCAAGGAGAUCCAGGGCUAGGAGAAAAAGUCUUCAAAAAAUGUCUACCUAAAACAAAGUCUGUCAAAUAUUUGUGUUUACAAAAACAGAGUGAUGUACCAGCUUCAAUAGGAGAAUAAUGAACUAAGAUCUCCCUAAAGAGCUGGGGGAAAUUCUCAGAGGAAGAGAAAAGGAUAGUCAACAAGUAUUAAAAUGGAUACUUGAAAGUAAGUAUGAAGGAGCAGAAAAAGACAAAAGAGAUGCGGCCACAAUGUAUAGCAUGAGCAAAGAGAGCCAUGGAGUUAUAAAUGUGCCUGGUGUGCUAAGGAAAUAGUGAAUGAUUGAGAGCUAGAAAUUAAAUGUAAUUAAACACAAAUAGGAAAGAGAUGGCACAGUGUAGGGACAGUGAGGACGGAUUUUGUUAAAGGAGUUGCAUAGAAGGAUUAGUUUGAGCCAUGUUUUGUGGGCAAUGCAGGGCUAUACAACACUUCCUAGGAAGGGGCCUGACACAUUAGAAAGAUAUUACUAUUUUUGAAAGAUCUCUGAGGUUUUAGUAAACCUCUUUUACAUACAUUUUCUUGUCCUUUGGAUUUUCUUGAUAGGAUGAUAGGAUGAUACUAGGGAAAUUGAGUUGCAAGGAGGCAGCCAUGAUAGGGAUAUUGAAAGGAUCCCCAUCUAGGCAUAUAUUUUUAUUCUGUUUAUGUUAAACGUAUUUCUUUGCUUCCCUAACUUCUUAAAUAAUUGUUGAAAAAAUAACAACCAAACACACACAAAAAAUCUCCCUUCAUUGUACACCAACUAGUUUGGGUUGGGCAAUUCUCCUGCUCCUCUUUCCUUGUCCCUGGACCUUGCUAUAACUCUGUGCAAAUUCAUUUUCCUGUGAGUUUUGUUGCUUGUGUCACAUGUCAAAUCACUGUAUAAUUAUUGGUUCAUAUCCCCUUCUUGGCAGCAUUAAAUUAUAAAAGUAAUAUGGAGUUGGCUUAUACACAACAUACGAUUUUAUAAAAUUGUGCUUAUGUAACUGGAGCUGGCCACUGCUAUCGUUAGAGCUUAGCAUUAGGUACAGCAGGAUAAUGCUGUGUAACAAGUCUUAAUGAAAGUCAGAACACCUGUUAGAGUUCUGGCUCUACCGGUUUAUCU